GAGACAAGCAUAUGACUACUGGCAGGAUCAACCAGGUAGCAUUCCUUCGCGACGCCGACGUCCGCAUGAGACCCGACCAGCCGUGAGGCCGCGGGCUCAAGACGGGCACGGCAGUCGUUCGUGUCGAUGGACAAAAUGCGUUGUUGCUCGGGCAAACAGAGCCGAUAGACCCCACGCCCGCGCAUAACGUUCCGCAUCCGAGAGCACGGGCAAAGCACCUCGUGGGCCGAAGCAGCCACGCGACUGGGCGAGGCGUGCCAGGAACACGAGGCUUGCCUGACGUCCACCCCACAGCCCGUGAGGGCCUGGGGCGGAGAGGGACCAACGAAACCGUCGGAUUCCUUUCGAUAGGUAAGCAACACAGGAUACCGAA
rnacentral:misc_RNA from 1 species